GCAGUUCCAGGGCAGGGGGGUGUGACGAACUAGGAAUUUUCUUAAUGUUUUCUCUGAAUACUGUGUUGGUGCCUCAGUGUCCCCUAGGCAGUUCUUAAGU